CGUGGGGGACGGGGCCGGUCGCCUAGGCAACGCGGCGGUGGCGGCGGCGGCGCCAUGUCUGGUGCCAACAAGAAAGCUGAACUACUGAGAUUACAGAGAGAAGAAGAAGAAAGGAGGCGGAGAGAGGAAGAGGAAGCCAGAAUUCAAGCUGAACUAGAAGAAGCAGCAAGACUUGAAAAGGAGAGAAUUGAACAAGAGAUGAUGGCAAAGCUUGCAGCAAAAGAUCGAGAACGAAGGGAGGCUGAACUGGCAGAGCUUCAUUCACUGGAACAGAAGUUUUUGUCUGCAGAGCAGUGGAAAAUCGAUUAUAGAGCACAUGCAAAGGUAAGCUUGCUUUCCAAAAUCUGCCCAGUGUUACAGAGGUUCAACAAUGAAGAGACUUCAGCUAUGUCUCCAUUGCAGGAUCCAGGAGUUUCCAUUUCUUGAGUUUAGGUGUGUGCUAUGGCUGCAUUUCAAGUUUCAUCCUGAGGUAGUAACUGGCCAUGCUCACUCUUUUCUAUCUUCUAUAUAUUGUUGUACACAGAAAAGAAACAUG
rnacentral:lncRNA from 1 species